UUCCGCAUCGCUCAAACAACUCUGCAGUUGUCUUCUUUGUUUUUAUUUUUGUAUUAUUUUAUGUGCAAUAAUGUGAAGUGUUGUUUUAUUUGCGUGAGCAUUAGUGUGUUUUGUUCUCUGUUGAAAGAACUUCAAAGAGCAAAAAAAAAUCAGACUUUAGUAAAUAAUUAGAUAUCAUAGCCUUUUCAGAUUUUCAGCUUUAGACUGUUAUGUCAAAUCUCAAAUCCAGAUUCAAAGACUCCUAUCAAUUAAUCACUUCAGAACUUUUUCAAAUACCCUUAAUUAAAGAGACAUAAAUUAGUAAUUACAGUCAAAUCAUAUGUAAACGAUUGGCGCCUUUUCGAAUUUCCAUUAUUCUCUAAACAAGAAAAAUAAAUCUGACCGUCACCUUCUCUUCUUAUACUAGUUGGGUUUCCCUUCCCUUCCCUUUUCUUCUCUUCCUCACUCUCUCUCAUUCGUUUCCAUCGAAAAAACUUGAAGAUUGUGUGAAAAUGAGUGCUGUCUGACUCAAAGAGAAAGAGGUAUCAAAGAAGAUGAAACUUCAUGGCAUGCCAGAUCCUGUUUCUUCUACUCACUCUGAUGUAAACCCUGAGGAGCUACGGACUCUUCUUCUUUCAAGAGCAACAUUACUUUCUGAGACUGCAUUGAAAGUUCUUCUUUGCAAACGAGAUAAGCUUGUAAUAACUCUCGCUCUUGAUCAAAGAUACACAUGUACUCUAAAAAAAAGUUCUUCUUCUAAAGGGUUGCUCUCUUCUUCUCUGUGAAUGCAUGCAUGCAGACUCUUGAGCAGCGGUCCAUAGAAGAUGAGAUUGCCAAAUGCGAUGAACGCAUGAAGAACAUCAAAGGUUCUUUCCCUCUUUUGCCCCAACUUUGUUUCUACAUAAACUUGAAUGCUUAUCGUACGGAUUAUACAUAUAUAGGUGAUGUGGAGCUGCAACUAGAAACAAUACUUGAUAGCUGUAACGAGGCAUACCCUAGGCGUGGCCUUCAAGAAUCUCAUGACAAGUCAGCAUGUCAAAGCAACAAGAGGAUGAAGCUCUGUGAACCUAUUCCUUGUACCAAAAGCAUGUGUCAGGUAAGUGUUUUGAGAAACUCUUGUGUCUUUGAUCAUUGCAUGUUGAAAUAAAAAAAAAAUUCAUUUUUCUCUUAUUUUAUUGCAGAAACUUGAUGAUCUUUGCGUCAAGAAUAACUGGGUACUACCAAGCUACCAUGUGUCUCUAUCAGAUGGUAAGUUUUUAAGAUCACAUAGCAAAUACAUAUCCUUUACUAACACAACAACUUACAUGUGGAUGUUGUUGCUUUGUCCAAAUAGGUGGGUUUGAAGCUGAAGUAAGAAUAAAGGAGACUCAGUUCGCUUACAAAAUUCGUGGAGAAGAAAAGUCAGAUGCUGAGGAGGCUAGGGAAUCUGCAGCGGCUUGCUUGCUAACCAAGUUACACCAGAACACAACAACAGCCAACGAUGUUUUAACAAAUGACCAUUUGAGGUUCAUGCAAAAUCAUUGUUGUGUUUUAUCUGUUUUAGGCUUGUCAAAGAUAUAACUUAGCUAAGACUUUCAUAUUCGGUUGCAGAUCUUCUUCUUCUGUUAAAGUAACGAAUCCGAGUGCACCCAGCGAGGAUCCAUUCAAAAUGGAGAAGCAGACUAGUCUUCCACUUCAAACAGCAGUUUUGUUACAUAUAUCUCUCUCUCUCUCUCUAUUUGUAGUCUAGUCUUGAGAUUAAUCUUACCACUUUUGGAUUGCUGAGUUUGUGCUUUCAUUGACAUUUUUAUAUUAGGAUCUCGCCGAGGACAUAUACGCAGCCUUGGAGAGGCUUCGUUCUGAUAUUGUCAAAGCAUCCCCUCACGGUGUCAUGUCAUAUCAUAUAUUUGCGUAAGUUUUAAAAGUUGAAGCUGCUACCAGAUCAUUAUCAAUUUUGAUCCAUGCCCCCUACAAAAUAUUAAUGCUCGUGUGUUUGUGGUGGCAGCAAUCCAACGCUUCAGAGGAUCAGCAAAAAGAUUCCGAGAAACAAAGAGGAACUCCUCAAGAUAGAUGGCCUCGGGAUGUAAGUUUUUUUUUUGGCUUCCAGAAACUCUACUCAGUAAUUAUCAAAGCAAUGAUUUAAGAAAUAUUAUGUGUAUCUUUAAACUUGUGUUCAGGGCUAAAGUAAAAAAGUACGGUGAUAGGUUGUUGGAAACAAUAGAAUCAACGAUCAAUGAAUACAACGUAACCAAUAAAAAAGGCUUCAUGGAGUAAAGUGUGGGCAUGGAGAAAGCUUUAUUUGGAGUUUGAAGGACAAAGAUGUGUUAGGAACUGAGGUAAAGAGUAAUUACCUCGGUGUAGUUGUGACCACUCUGAAACUUUAGUUUCAAAGACUUUGUAAACUUCUAAGGCCUACUAGGUAAACCUUAAUGUUAAGUAGAUCAGAAACUUGUUAUUCAGUGUUUAGUUUUUCAUGCAUCAUCUUUUUAAGUGGCUGUGUCCCAGUUCGGUAUGGUUUAAACAAAUCUGCAUGGUAACAAAACCUACGUAAUGAUUUUAAAUCGGAUGCUUUAAUCUGAACAAUCUGUCGUCCAAGAACAGAAGCAGCUUAAAAGUCAUGCAGAAACUUGAAUUGUCUCUUUCGUUUUUCUUUGCUUUUUUUCAUUUUGGCUGCAUUACCAUUGGUGUGAAGUAUUGUUGAUUGUUUUAUUUACCGUCUCUUUUAUGAAUAACCAGAACACAAACUGCAUAUGAAUAUGAGAUUUUGGCAAUUCACAAAAGAUAAAUUUUAUUAGAAAGCAUUUGAAUAAUUUCUAAGAAUUAGAUAGACACUACAUUUGUGAUUUACUGUUGAACAAUUUUUCACACGAUUGUUCAUUCACCAAAAUAUUUUAUUUAGUUCUCUUGCUAAUUAGUAUUUUUUUUCUUUGUUCUGAACUUUUCUACGUUCAAAACAGUUUAAAACACACAAUUAUAGUGCCUUGUUUAAUAGAUAUCAUAGCCUUUUCAGGUUUUUGAGCUAUAGGCUGUUAUGUCAAAAUCUUAAAUUAAAUUAAAAGACUCAUAUCUAUCAAUCACUUCAGGAAUCUCUAAAUAAAGAUAAGAUCAACCUACUGUACCAAGACUGGAACUCUCUAGAUACCCUUUACAGAGAUACAAAAUUACAGUUAAACCAAAAUGUAAACGAUUAGAGUUAGAGCCUUUUCGAAUUUCCAUUAUUGUCUUAACAAGAAAAAAAAAGAAGAAGGAAAAAACACCCUUCUCUACUCACAUAGAAAAUAAUACCAAGAAGAUGAAGCUUAAUAACAUUCAAGCUCAUGUUUCUUCUCCUCACUCUAAUCUAAACCUUGAGGAGCUACAAACGACUAUUCUUUCUAGGGCAAGAUCACUUUCCGAGACUGCAUUGAAAGUUCUUCUUUGGGAACGAGAUAAGCUUGUAAUAACUAUAGACUUUGAUCAAAGACACACAUGUACUUAAUUGAUUGCUAAUAGCAUAUCUAAGGCUUGCUCUCUUCUUCUUUGUGAAUGCGUGCAUGCAGACUCUUGAGCAGCGGUUCAUAGAAGACGAGAUUGCCAAAUGCGAUCAACGCAUCAAGAACAUCAAAGGUACUUUCCCUUUUUAUUUUUGUGCUUCAUUUCUACAUGAACUUGAAUGCUUAUCGAUCCCGGGGAUUGUUUAUAUAGGUGAUUGGAAGCUGCAACUAGAAACAAUACUCAAGAGCUGUAACGAGGCAUACCCGAGGGGUAGCCUUCAAAAAUCUUAUGACAAGUCAGCAUGUCAAAGCAACAAGAGGCUGAAGCCCCUUCCUUCUACCAAAAGUAUGUGUCGGGUAAGUUUUUGGUUAAACUGCUGAGUCUUUGAUCAUUUCACUUUCAAAUAAAAAAAAGAUUCGUUUCUUCUAUUUUAUUGCAGAAACUCGAUGAAAUCUGUCUAGAGAAUAACUGGGUACUACCAAGCUAUCAUGUGUCUCUUUCAGAUGGUAAGGGUUUUAGAUCAUAUAUGGCAAGCUCCUUUACUAACAUAGCAAUUUAAUUACAUGUUGUUGCUUUGUUCAAAAAGGUGGAUUUAAAGCUGGGGUAAGAAUAAAUGAGACUCAGUUCGCUCACACUAUCUGUGGAGAAGAACAGUCAGAUGCUGAGGAAGCUAGGGAAUCCGCAGUGGCUAUCUUGCUUGCUAAAUACGUUACACCAGAGCAAACCAACAGCCAACGAUCUCGUACCAGAAGACCUUUCAGGUUCUUGCAAAAUCAUUGCUGUGUUUUAUCUGUUUCAAGCUUGUUAAAUAUUGAACGUCACUAAAGAGUUGCAUAUGCAGAUCCCCUUCUUCAGUAAAAGUAUUGAAGCCGAGUACACCCGGUGAAACCUCAGAAAUAGAUCCAUUAACAUCACUUGCAACUGGAGAUGUGGUAUCUCUCUCCAUCUCUCUUUGUAAUCUAGUCUCAUUUUUUCUGCUGAGAUUAUAAGAUUAUGGCUCAUUGAUCUUUUUUUUGUAUAGGAUCUUACCACCAAAUUGUUCUUAGCCUUGAGGAAGCUACGUUCACUUCUUGUCAAAGAAUGCCCUGGUGGUGUCAUGGGAACUUAUAUAUUCACGUAAGUCUUGAUAAAAAAAAAACUAUUUGUUUGCUUAUUUUUUAUGAAUUAUCAAUUUGAUCCAUGCACCUACAAAAUACUUUGUGUGUUGUGGCGGCAGCAACCCAACGCUUCAGAAGAUAAGCACCAAGAUUCCGAGAAACAAAGAGGAACUCCUUGAGAUAGAAGGCCUUGGGAAGUAAGUUAUCUUUGCUUCCAGAAACUGUACUCAGUAAUCAUCGAGAUAAGAACUCAAACGAGUUUGAUUACAUUCAUGUGUUAUACUGUUAUGUUUAAACUUGCGUUCAGGGACAAAGUAAGUAGGUACGGUGAUCGGUUGUUGGAAACAAUAGAAUCAACGAUCAAGGAGUACUACGCAACCAAUAAGAAAAGCUCCAUGGAGUAAAGUAUGGGCAUGUAGAACGCUUUAUUUUGAGUUUUGAAUGACGAAAGAUGGGUUGGACAUACGUAAUAAUUACCUAGGUGAAGUUGUGACUAACUUCUAAUAACUUUUUAGUAAACUUAAAAAGAAAAACUUUUUGUAAACUUUUGCUUCACUUUUUGUAAACUUAAAAAAAACCUUAACGUUCAAACUGAACCUGAUAUAAAUGUAAGGGAAAAUAACAAUCUCAAACUAAAACUGUAAACAAAUAGUAUGAUAUACAAAACAAAAAAUUUUGUUUCAAAAAGAUUUAUUUUUAUAUUUUCAAUGCAUGGUUUAUUAACUAAUUGUACUAGUUAAAUUUUUAUUAGUUCAAAAUUAUGAAAAAAAAAUAAACACAAAAAGUUACGCAAAUUUAAUGUGUUUUAUUAAGAUGUGUGAAAUAUCAAUUAUAUAGUGAGUAUAAUUUGUUCUCAUGUCUCUUAUAAAAUUACCAAGUAUUAGUAUAAUCGUUUAGCAUCAAGUAAGUAUCUGCUUACUCGUGUACGGGUUGGAUCCAUCCGACAAGGAAGAUGAGAAUCAGCAGCAUUGGUGUUCCCACCACCACGUUCUUCAGUAAACAGUAUCACCAUUGAUCUUCUCAGUUCUCAAGAAACGUAGUAAAGAGAUUAAGACACUUGUCUUCUGAGUUCUGAAAGACACCCACUUAACUGAAGAAAGAGCAAAUUAUGUAUACACUAUCUGCAAAGAAAAAAAACUCCCUAAAAUACCCUCCAAAGAGCCAAAAUAUUACAGUGAAACCAACCUCAGGGAAAACAAAAAGUAUUGGCGCCUUUUCGAAUUUCUUUCAUUAUUAUUUACACAAAAACACAAAAACAAAUGCUUUUUGUGUUAACACAUGAAGUAGUCUUUAUGAGCUUCUUCCUCUUUGCUCCUUGUUGUCUCUCUCUGCCUAUAACUUACAAAGCUGACACUUUCUCUAAAGUUUUCUCAUUUUCCAGAAACGGCAAUUAGGGAAAUUUCAUUACAAAGCCUAAAAGGGUUUCCUUUUCCGUGAACCUUUGACGCUUAGGGAUUGAGAUUAUGGAGGAAGCAGACUGCUCUUUACCUGCUUGUCCGACAGAGGACGCCAUUAGAGCUUUGUUAGAGAACUUAGUCGACCCUUUGCUUCCACUCAAGCCUUCUCCAAGUAAUGUUCCUUCCAAGGCUCUCCGUGAAUCUGUGGCUAAACAGGUUCAUGCUGUUGUGCUGUUGUACAAUUACUACCACAGAAGAGAGCAUCCUCACCUAGAACGCUUGCCUUUUGAGUCGUUCCGUAGCUUGACUACCGUUAUGAGACCUGCCCUGCUGCCUCAUUUUAAGGAAUCUGGAGAAGAUGGAGUUUUGGAGAAGGUUAUUGUGGAUGCAUGUAGUUUAUCCAUGAGCUUGGAUGCUUCUUCAGAUUUUUCCACCUUGAAGAAGUGGCCCAUAAGGAAAGUUGCUGUCUUGUUAGUUGAUUCCAAGAAGACUUGCUGUUAUCUUCAGCACAGUUCAAUCACACAAGGUGUGUGGUCACUACUUGAGAAACCCAUUGAAUGCCAGAGUGAAGAAGCCACUUUUCAAAAAGUUGCAUUUGCUGCUAUUAAGGAGGCCACUGGUAUUGAUCAUAAAGACAUUGUGAUCUUAGAGAGGCAUUUGGUACACUCUUUGAGUGAAGAGAAGACAACGACCAAGUUUUACAUAAUGAAAUGCACUUCAGAAGACAAUUUUCCAGGAGAGUUCCCUGUUGAAGAAGCACUUAACUGCAUGCAAGGUCCUUUGUUUGACAAGAGCUUCUCCGAAUGGUCUACAAAUUCCAUAGUUGAAUACUUUCAUGUUCUUCCAUAUGCCAAUCUUAUAGCAGACUGGUUUUCAAGGCGAGAAGCUGCUGAGUUUGUGAUAGAGAAAGAAGCAGAAGCUGUGUGUGAUGAGCUGGAAAGCAAUGGAAAGGCAGAUGAGUCUGAUAUUUGUCACAAAGAAGACGCCAUUAGAGCUUUGUUAGAGAACUUAGUCGACCCUUUGCUCCCACUCAGACCUUCUCCAACUGAUGUUCCUUCCAUGGCUCUCAGGGAAUCUGUGGCUAAACAGGUUCGUGCUGUUGUGGUCCUGUAUAACUAUUACCACAGAAGAGAGCAUCCUCAUCUUGAAUGCUUGUCUUUUGAGACUUUCCGUAGCUUGACUACGGAUGUGAAGCCUGCUCUGCUGCCUCAUUUUAAGGAAUCUGGAGAUGGAGUUGUAUUGCUGGAGAAGGUUAUUGUGGAUGCAUGCAGCUUAUCCAUAAGCUUAGAUGCGUCUUCAGAUUUUUCCACCUUGGAGAAGUGGCCCAUAAAGAAAGUUUCAGUCCUGUUGGUUGACUCCAAGAAAACUUGCUGUUAUCUUCAACACAGUUCCAUCACACAAGGUGGGUGGUCACUGCUUGAAAAAACCAUUGAAAGAGAGAAAGCUGCUGCUGCUGAAGGCCAGAGCGAAGAGGCCAUCUUUCAAAAAGUUGCAUUUGCAGCUGUUAAGGAGGCCACAGGUAUUAAUCACAAAGACAUUGUGAUAUUGGAGAGGCAUUUGGUACACUCCUUGAGUGAAGAGAAGACAACGGCCCAGUUUUACAUAAUGAAGUGCACCUCACAAGACAAAUUUUCUGGAGAGUUCCCUGUUGAAGAAGCACUUAAAUGCAUGCAAGGUCCUUUGUUUGAGAAGAGCUUCUCUGAAUGGUCUACGAAUUCCAUAGUUGAAUACUUUCAUGUUCUUCCUUAUGCCAAUCUAAUAGCAGACUGGUUUUCCAGGCGAGAAGACGCUGAGUUUGUGAUAGAGAAAGAAGUAGAAACUGUGUGUGAUGAGAUCGAAAGCAAUGGAAAGGCAGAUGAGUCUGAUGUUUGUCACACAGGGGACGCCAUUAGAGCUUUGUUAGAGAAUUUAGUCGACCCUUUGCUUCCACCCAAACCUUCUCCAACUGAUGUUCCUUCCAAGGCUGUCCGUGAAGCAGUGGCUAAACAGGUUCAUGCUGUUGUGCUGCUGUACAAUUAUUACCACAGAAGAGAGCAUCCUCAUCUAGAGUGCUUGUCUUUUGACUCUUUCCGUAGUUUGACUACUGUUAUGAGGCCUGCUCUCUUGCCCCAUUUUAAGGACUCUGGAGAAGAUGGAGUUUUGGAACAAACUGUAUUUCUAGAGAAGGUUAUUGUGGAUGCAUGCAGCUUAUCCAUGAGCUUGGAUGCUUCUUCAGAUUUUUCCAGCUUGAAGAAGUGGCCCAUAAAGAAAGUUGCAGUCUUGUUAGUCGACUCAAAGAAGACUUCUUGUUAUCUUCAACAUAGUUCCAUCACACAAGGUGUGUGGUCACUACUUGAGAAAGCUGCUGCUGCUGAAGGCCAGAAUGAAGAGGCUAUCUUUCAAAAAGUUGCAUUUGCAGCUAUUAAGGAGGCCACAGGUAUUAAUCACAAAGAUGUUGUGAUCUUGGAGAGGCAUUUGGUACCCUCAUUGAGUGAAGAGAAGACAACGGCCCAGUUUUACAUAAUGAAGUGCACUUCACAAGACAAAUUUUCUGGAGAGUUCCCUGUGGAAGAAGCACUUAAAUGCAUGCAAGGUCCUUUGUUUGAGAAGAGCUUCUCUGUCUCUGAAUGGUCUACGAGUUUCGUAGUGGAAUACUUCCACGUUCUUCCAUAUGCCAGUCUAAUAACAGACUGGUUCUCCAGGCGAAAAGACACUGAGUUCGUGAUAGAGAAAGAAGCAGAAGCUGUAUUUGAUGAGAAUGGAAAGGCAGAUGAGUCUGAUAUUUUCGACACUCCUGGAAGAGGAGGAGAUAAUGCUACUUCAAAAAGGAGUAAUGAUACUAAUGCUAGAAAAGAUGCUUCACGUAGCAGUCCUAAAGCUAGAAAAAAAGUUGCUCCCAAGUUCUAUUCUCGUAACUUGAGAGGAAGAACAGUUCCUGCAGUGGAACCCCAGGUUGAAACGGUAGUUGCGUUGAAGGCUAAUAAUGCAGAUAAUGAAAUGAGUCCUUGUAAAGAUAAUGGAGAGAGAGGUGGUAUGGAGGUUGGGUCUGGUUCAAAUUAUCAAAGGGAAAGAGAUAACCAGAGGAAGAAAGCUGUUACUGACAAACUCAAGAGCAUUCUUAAGCUUAAUAAUGCAUCUCCUGCUUCUGCUCGUGACUCUAACCUAAACCUUGAGGAGCUACAAACUACUCUUCUCUCUAGAGCAUCAUCACUCUCUGAGACUGCGUUGAAAGUUCUUCAUUGCAAACGAGAUAAGCUGACUCUUCAGCAGCGAGACAUAGAAGACGAGAUUGCUGAAUGUGACAAACUCAUCAAGAACGUCAAAGGUAACUGGGAGCUGCAACUAGAAACAAUACUUGAGUGUUGUAAUGAGGCAUACCCGAGGCGUAGCCUUCAAGAAUCUCAAAGCAACAAGAGAGUGAAGCUCUCUGAACCUCUUCCUUUUACCAAAAAAACUCGAUGAUUUAUGUCUGGAGAAUAACUGGGUACUACCAACCUAUCGUGUGUCUUCAACCGAUGGUGGGUAUGAAGCCGAAGUAAGAAUAAAGGAGAUUCACUUUGCGCAUACAGUUUGCGGAGAUGAAAAGUCUGAUGCUGAGGAAGCUAGGGAAUCUGCGGCAGCUUGCCUGCUACGUAGGUUACAACACAACACAAGACAACAGCCAUCAACUUCUCGUCAUGAUUGAGUGAGAUCCAAGA